rnacentral:rRNA from 1 species
ACCCGCUGAACUUAAGCAUAUCAAUAAGCGGAGGAAAAGAAACUAACAAGGAUUCCCCUAGUAACGGCGAGUGAAGCGGGAACAGCUCAAAUUUGAAAUCUUGCAGGGUUACCUGUACGAAUUGUAGUUUAGAGAAACGUUUUCGGGCGUGAUGUGGGUAUAAGUCCUUUGGAAUGAGGCAUCAUAGAGGGUGAGAAUCCCGUUCUUGGCCCAUAACUCAUGUCUAUGUGAUACGUUUUCAACGAGUCGGUUUGUUUGGGAAUGCAGACCAAAAUGGGUGGUAAAUACCAUCUAAAGCUAAAUAUUGGCGAGAGACCGAUAGCGAACAAGUACCGUGAGGGAAAGAUGAAAAGAACUUUGAAAAGAGAGUUAAACAGUACGUGAAAUUGUCAAAAGGGAAACGCUUGAAACCAGUAUUGCUUCCAAGUAAUCAGCCAUGUCUCGCGAUAUGGUGCACUUGCUUGUCAGCAGGUCAACAUCAGUUUGGUUUGGGGAAAAAAACCAGAGAAAGGUAGCCCCUUGGGUGUUAUAGUCUCUGGUGCUGCCCUGGACUGGACUGAGGACUGCAGCAUUUUUGGGUAGCCAGUCGCUUCCUGAAACCUUUCGGCAGACAGCAUGCUGACUGUUGAAAAACGUAGGGAAUACGGUUGGUGAUCCACACCAAUGCUUAGGAUGUUGACGAAAUGGUUUUAAACGACCCGUCUUGAAACACGG